UGGGGAAUAUUGCACAAUGGAGGGAACUCUGAUGCAGCGACGCCGCGUGAGUGAUGAAGGAAUUCGUUUCGUAAAAUUCUGUUCUAUGGGAAGAAAAGGACUGUACCAUAGGAGAAAGCUCCGGCUAAAUACGUGCCAGCAGCCGCGGUAAUACGUAUGGAGCGAGCGUUGUCCGGAAUUAUUGGGCGUAAAGGGUGCGCAGGCGGCUUUACAAGUUGGAUGUGAAAUAUUGUGGCUCAACCACAAACGUGCAUCCAAAACUGCAAAGCUUGAGUUAAGGAGAGGUAAGUGGAAUUCCUGGUGUAGCGGUGGAAUGCGUAGAUAUCAGGAGGAAUACCGGUGGCGAAGGCGACUUACUGGACUUAAACUGACGCUCAGGCACGAAAGCGUGGGGAGCAAACAGG
rnacentral:rRNA from 1 species